rnacentral:miRNA from 2 species
CAACUCUAAUGUCCCGGGUUA